GUGCCAGCCGCCGCGGUAAUACGGAGGGAGCUAGCGUUGUUCGGAAUUACUGGGCGUAAAGCGCGCGUAGGCGGCUUUUCAAGUCAGGGGUGAAAUCCCGGGGCUCAACCCCGGAACUGCCCUUGAAACUGGAUGGCUAGAAUACUGGAGAGGUGAGUGGAAUUCCGAGUGUAGAGGUGAAAUUCGUAGAUAUUCGGAAGAACACCAGUGGCGAAGGCGACUCACUGGACAGUUAUUGACGCUGAGGUGCGAAAGCGUGGGGAGCAAACAGGAUUAGAUACCCCCGUAGUCC
rnacentral:rRNA from 1 species